UUUCACAGCACUGGGUGCAGGCAGUCUACUUCAGGAGAAGCAAUGUGAUUUACCAAGCUAACAACUGAAGAGAACUGUAUCACUCAGAAUCUGAGUGGUGGCAGAGACUAUACCUGCCUUGCUAGCUGCUGUAUCUGCAAUGCUAAGUAUACUGCCUGCCACACAGAUAAAAAAAUACUAUCCACAUCUAAGAUUAUUUUUCACUUCGACAUGCUUCACCUGAAAGAGUCAAGAAAGCGUUUCUCUAAUGCAUUUUAGAUGUCUCAUAUCAGUCAUUUGCUCAACUAUCAGUCACUCACACAGCCUGCAAUUAUGCACAAAACAACCUGCUAUGGUGAUAACAAGACAUUAUCUAUUGACUUUCUACUAUGAAAUAAGAGAAUCUGAAUCCUUCCUCCUCCAUGACUACCCGGUUUAUGAGAUUGUCUCUUUGUCACCAGAGACAAUUUGAAAUUUCACGGGCUGGAGGAGCGUGGUGGCUCAGGCUUGUAAU